CGCUCAACUGCCUCGAGGACCCCCUCGGUUGAGCGGGAUGCGCUAGCCGGCGCGACGGCCAUGGAGCACGUGCCGCUCUCCGCACCCUCCUCGGGCCACGUCGAGGCCGCCGCUGUCGUGCUCCUCACCUCGCUGGCCUUCCUCCCGCGCACGGCGCAACGCUGUUUCCGGUCGUGGAAGCUGCUGCUCUGCUUGGGAUCCCCCGACCGCGCCGCGGACGUCACAGCCGCCGCGGAGCUCGGCCUCCGCCUCGUCCACGUCGACGCCAACCGCGUCGAGGAGACCGCGGACACGGUCAUGGCCCUCUUCCUCGGCCUCCUCCGCCGCACCCACCUGCUGUCCGGACACGCGUCCUCCUCCACGCCGUCCACCGGGUGGCUCGGCUCCGUCCUUCCCCUUCUUCUAUCCUUGCACGGAGCUCAAGCUCUUCCCCGCACCCAUCUUGCCCAUCCCCUGCUGGAACACGUAGAAGAAGUAGCCCUGGUUCAUGGCGAACAUGUUCACAAGCCGCUGCGUCUCCGACGACUUGAACAAUGUCUGGUCCGAGCUCAGCAAGCCCCUCCGCUGCUGCAGCUCCUUGAAGCAGACGCCAUCGAACAACGUGUUCGUCCGGUCGAACGUCGUCGUCGCCGAGUCCCCGCCCUUGCUGCACGUGGCCGCCAG
rnacentral:rRNA from 1 species